rnacentral:tRNA from 1 species
GGGCCGUUAGCUCAUUCGGUAGAGCGCUUCCAUGGCAUGGAAGAGGCGACCGGUUCGAAUCCGGUACGGUCCA